GGGAACUCAGACACAGGUGCUGCAUGGCUGUCGUCAGCUCGUGUCGUGAGAUGUUCGGUUAAGUCCGCUAACGAGCGCAACCCUCGUCGUAUGUUAUAUGUGUCAUACGAGACUGCCGGUAAAAAGCCGGAGGAAGGUGAGGAUGAUGUCAAGUCAGCAUGACCUUUAUAUCCAGGGCUACACACACGCUACAAUGGUCUGUACAAUGGGUAGCCAAGCCGCGAGGCGGAGCCAAUCCUGAAAGCAGGCCUCAGUUCAGAUUGCAGUCUGCAACUCGACUGCAUGAAGCCGGAGUUGCUAGUAACCGCAGGUCAGCAAUACUGCGGUGAAUACGUUCCCGGGUCUU
rnacentral:rRNA from 1 species